UACGUAGGGGGCAAGCGUUGUCCGGAAUCAUUGGGCGUAAAGAGCGUGUAGGCGGCCCGAUAAGUCCGCUGUGAAAGUCCAGGGCUUAACCCUGGACCUGCAUUCGAUACGGGCAGACUAGAGUUCGGUAGGGGAGACUGGAAUUCCUGGUGUAGCGGUGAAAUGCGCAGAUAUCAGGAGGAACACCGGUGGCGAAGGCGGGUCUCUGGGCCGAUACUGACGCUGAGGAGCGAAAGCGUGGGGAGCGAACAGG
rnacentral:rRNA from 1 species